UAGGGAAUCUUCCGCAAUGGGCGAAAGCCUGACGGAGCAACGCCGCGUGAGUGAUGAAGGUCUUCGGAUCGUAAAACUCUGUUAUUAGGGAAGAACAAAUGUGUAAGUAACUAUGCACGUCUUGACGGUACCUAAUCAGAAAGCCACGGCUAACUACGUGCCAGCAGCCGCGGUAAUACGUAGGUGGCAAUCGUUAUCCGGAAUUAUUGGGCGUAAAGCGCGCGUAGGCGGUUUUUUAAGUCUGAUGUGAAAGCCCACGGCUCAACCGUGGGGGGUCAUUUGAAACUGGAAAACUUGAGUGCAGAAGAGGAAAGUGGAAUUCCAUGUGUAGCGGUGAAAUGCGCAGAGAUAUGGAGGAACACCAGUGGCGAAGGCGACUUUCUGGGCUGUAACUGACGCUGAUGUGCGAAAGCGUGGGGAUCAAACAGG
rnacentral:rRNA from 1 species